rnacentral:rRNA from 1 species
GACGAACGCUGGCGGCGUGCUUAACACAUGCAAGUCGAACGGAAAGGCCCUGCUUUUGUGGGGUGCUCAAGUGGCGAAAGGGUGAGUGUCACGUGAGUAACCUGCCCUUGUCUUUGGGGUACCUUCAGUAAACUCGGGCUAAAACAGGGUAGGAGCUCCUGCAGCAUGGUGUGGGUGGGUAAGAUUCGCCGGUUGGGGAUGGACUCGCGGUUUAUCGGCUUGUUGGUGGGGUAGUGGCUUACCAAGGCUCUGACGAGUAGCCGGCCUGCGAGGGUGACCGGCCACAAUGGGACUGAGAAGGGAGCCGGACUCCUACGGGAGGCAGCAGUGGAAGAUAUUGCGCAAUGGGCGGAGGGCGUGAGCAGCAUCUCCGCGUGGGAGAUGACGGCCGGUGGGUUGUAAACCGCGUGCGCCUGUAACGAAGCGUAAGUGACGGUAAUGGGUAAAGAAGCAACGGCUAACUACGUG